CAUAAAGCUCUGUUUAGGUUGAAAUUGUUGAAAUAAUUCAAAUUGUUCAUGAAAUUGUUGAAAUUGGUGAAGUUGUUGAAAGUGAAGUUGUUAUAGGUGAGAAGAGUCUUAUUUCAGUGUUGAUAAUUUACCUCGCUCUAGAUUUCGAUAAUCCUAAAAUGUGUUUUGGUUAUGUAGAAUAUGGCGUCACAAAAUGUAGUUUUGUUAUGCCGGUGGGGAGGAGAAAUUCUGUUUGAUGGACCCCGGGUCGAGUAUAGUGGGGGAAAUAUGGAACCACUAACACUAGAACCGAACAUGACUAUGAAUGAUUUGAUAACAUUUGGAACAUUUGAUCGUUAACAUUUUGGUUAAUUGCUAAUGCGUUAACUCUGUUGGGAUUUGUUAAAUUGCAUGUGAACAGAUACGAUGGACGGUGAAGAUCGUACGCCUGGACCCGUUGACCCUUCUGUGCUUACACUACAGGGCACACACCGCAGCGUUGCCGUAUGGGAUCAGACGGUUGAUCCGGCAAAGCAGCUCGUUUGCAGGCAUUACACCACCAGGUUCAUGGUGGGGUGGGGAAUCGAUCCUCGCGUUUUGGCGUACGUCGAGUUUGUCGGUUUAGGUGGUUUUCACCGUAUGGCGUAUAGGGAGAUCGAUCGAGCGCUUGUCACUGCGCUCGCGGAGAGGUGGAGACAGGAGACGCACUCCUUCCACCUACCUGUUGGUGAGACGACCGUUACGUUACGGGACGUGGCGAUUCUUACGCGCCUUCCAGUACAUGGGUCUGCGGUGACAGGACACGCGUUAGUCGAUCCCGUCGGUUUGGUUGGUCGGGUACUUGGUGUCCAGCCAGGUCCCGCCGAUAUUAGGGUACCUCACUUAUUUCUGUACCAAAAAAACUAUUUCACCACGCACUUACAUAUUUCAUACUGAAGCUAGUUUUGUGUCUCUGUGUGCCAGUUCUGGGCUUGGGAGCAUAUCCAUGUAGGCAGACCAGGCAGACCUGCGAUACACCGUCGGGGGGAGCAGGACCAGGACGACCAGUACCAGGCGUACGAUGCUCCCCCGCUCCCUACACCGGAUGAGGCAUAUGGUUGCAGGUGGGUGGUACCCAGGCUGACACAUGCUCAUGCGGCGAGGGGUCUUCCGUAUUACCGAGACGCCCUAGACCGACUCACCGAGGACCAGGUGACAUGGGACCCGUAUGUACCUGACUUGGUAGAUGCCAUGCCUCCACAUCUGCUAGACCAUCAGGCGGAGUGGCGGAUAUGGUGGCGAUGGUUGAUGCGCUAUCAGUCUCCCUUGAGUGCGGACCCACUAGAGCCCAGGUCGAGCAGGUGCGAGAUAUGGGCGUCGCUACCUUACGGAGAUAUGGUCACGCUCAUCUCGCCCACCGGCGGGACGGUCAUGAUGGCAACUCACAGUUCGAUCUCGGCCAGAGCAGCGGUGGAUGUGAUCCUACGUCACCCAGACACGCAGAGGAUUACAACAUCCACAGUACUGCGCCCUCUGGUACCCAGGAGGACCCCUCGUCCAGUCAGCUGACUCCCCCACCGCCCCGAGACCCAUUCACCACCGUCACUCAUUACAGGCGGCGACGUGUCAGACGGAGGGCCGACACUCAGGAGGCAGGACCUUUACCCCGAAUAAAUGAGUCGGGCUAGUAUUAUCUGUUGUAUUCCCUGUUAUUUUGUAUAAUG